GUACACUCCUACGGGAGGCAGCAGUGGGGAAUAUUGCACAAUGGGCGCAAGCCUGAUGCAGCCAUGCCGCGUGUAUGAAGAAGGCCUUCGGGUUGUAAAGUACUUUCAGCGGGGAGGAAGGCGAUAAGGUUAAUAACCUUGUCGAUUGACGUUACCCGCAGAAGAAGCACCGGCUAACUCCGUGCCAGCAGCCGCGGUAAUACGGAGGGUGCAAGCGUUAAUCGGAAUUACUGGGCGUAAAGCGCACGCAGGCGGUCUGUCAAGUCGGAUGUGAAAUCCCCGGGCUCAACCGGGGAACUGCAUUCGAAACUGGCAGGCUAGAGUCUUGUAGAGGGGGGUAGAAUUCCGGGUGUAGCGGUGAAAUGCGUAGAGAUCUGGAGGAAUACCGGUGGCGAAGGCGGCCCCCUGGACAAAGACUGACGCUCAGGUGCGAAAGCGUGGGGAGCAAACAGGAUUAGAUACCCUAGUAGUCCCAU
rnacentral:rRNA from 1 species